UGACUAUGACUCUGGUAUUCAACCUUGGG
rnacentral:piRNA from 1 species